rnacentral:rRNA from 1 species
UACGUAGGGGGCAAGCGUUGUCCGGAUUUACUGGGCGUAAAGAGCGUGUAGGCGGCCAAACAGGUCCGUUGUGAAAACUGGAGGCUCAACUUCCAGACGUCGACGGAAACCGUGUGGCUAGAGUCCGGAAGAGGAGAGUGGAAUUCCUGGUGUAGCGGUGAAAUGCGCAGAUAUCAGGAAGAACACCGGUGGCGAAAGCGCUCUGCUAGGCCGCAACUGACACUGAGGGACGAAAGCUAGGGGAGCGAAUGGG